rnacentral:lncRNA from 1 species
UGGUGUGAUAAUUAUAUGUUGUUGUUUUGGUCUUGCAACUUCAGUUGGUGCAGAUGUGGUGUUUUUGGUUUAUGAUCUUAGUAAAGAAAGUUGAUGAUUGUCUUGUCUGUGUGUAAAGCUUGAUUAUUUAUAGCUGCUUGAUCAGGUCCAUGAGGCAUGGUAGUUUGGUGAAUUCCUUGUCUUCCUUGUCCUUGAGUCACGAUUGUUAUUGUUUGAUGAAUUCUUUGUUCUUGAGAAAUAGCUGUUUGGUGAGUUCCUUGAGUGAGGGUCAACAUACAUGCUUGAUUUAUGUGAGUAGAGUGUUGUGUCUCUUUAGAAUUUUGUGUCUCCUUUGAUAAUAUUUGUGAUUCUUGAGUGGCGUCAACCAUAACAAGUUCCUAAU